AAAACAACUUAGAACAGAAGCAGUAAUAUUGAUUGUAGUAAUAGAGAGUUUCUGAUGGUGGAAAUGAAACAUGCAUCGAUAUGAAUUCACAUCUGUGAGUUGAUUCUCUGAAUUAAGUAGGAGAACCCGGGCUUAGCCCGUUAUAGCUAAAGGUUGAUUAUUAACUUAUUGAGGCAAGUUACGUGAGUAACUUGUAAACAUGAGGUGGAAUCGCGAUUUCAUUCGCCCUCGUA
rnacentral:ncRNA from 1 species